CGUACCUUUUGCAUCAUGAUUUAGCCAGCACCCUCAAGCAAAGAGCACUUUAGUUUGACCACCCGAAAUUAGGUGAGCUACUCCAAGACAGCCUAUCCAUAAGGGCAAACCCGUCUCUGUGGCAAAAGAGUGGGACGAGCUUCGAGUAGAGGUGACAGACCUACCGAACCUAAUUAUAGCUGGUUGCCUGGGAACUGGAUAGAAGUUCAGCCCUACGGCUUCUCCUUCCCAACCCGUUCCAACACACCCCUGGCACUUUAGAGAAACCGUACGAGUUAGCCAAAGGAGGUACAGCCCCUUUGAACCAAGAAACAACUAUACCAGGAGGGUAUCAAUCAUAUUAUUAAAGGCAAAAUGCCAAGGUGGGCCUAAAAGCAGCCAUCCUUAUAGAAAGCGUUACAGCUCAAGCAUUUCCCACGCCCAUUAUACCGAUAACCCAAUUCCAACCCCCUAACCUUACCAGGCCAUCCUAUGCACACAUAGGAGUGACCAUGCUAAUAUGAGUAAUAAGAGGACACGCCCCUCUCCCUGCACACGUGUA
rnacentral:rRNA from 1 species